GUAGGUGGCAAGCGUUGUCCGGAAUUAUUGGGCGUAAAGCGCGCGCAGGUGGUUCUUUAAGUCUGAUGUGAAAGCCCCCGGCUCAACCGGGAGGGUCAGUUGGAAACUGGGGAAACUUGAGUGCAGGAGAGGAAAGUGGAAUUCCACGUGUAGCGGUGAAAUGACGUAGAUAUGUGGAGGAACACCAGUGGCGAAGGCGACUUUCUGGUCCUGUAACUGACACUGAGGCGCGAAAGCGUAGGGGAGCGAAACAGGAAUUAGGAUACCCUGGUACGUCCACGCCGUAAACGAUGAGUGCUAAGUGUUAGGGGGGGUUUCCCGCCCCCGUUCACGUGCUGCAGCUAACGCAUUAAGCACUCCGCCUGGGGAGUACGGUCGCAAGACUG
rnacentral:rRNA from 1 species